GAUGAACGCUGGCGGCGUGCCUAAUACAUGCAAGUCGAGCGAAUGGAUUAAGAGCUUGCUCUUAUGAAGUUAGCGGCGGACGGGUGAGUAACACGUGGGUAACCUGCCCAGAAGACUGGGAUAACUCCGGGAAACCGGGGCUAAUACCGGAUAACAUUUUGAACCGCAUGGUUCGACAUUGAAAGGCGGCUUCGGCUGUCACUUAUGGAUGGACCCGCGUCGCAUUAGCUAGUUGGUGAGGUAACGGCUCACCAAGGCAACGAUGCGUAGCCGACCUGAGAAGGUGAUCGGCCACACUGGGACUGAGACACGGCCCAGACUCCUACGGGAGGCAGCAGGAGGGAAUCUUCCGCAAUGGACGAAAGUCUGACGGAGCAACGCCGCGUGAGUGAUGAAGGCUUUCGGGUCGUAAAACUCUGUUGUUAGGGAAGAACAAGUGCUAGUUGAAUAAGCUGGCGCCUUGACGGUACCUAACCAGAAAGCCACGGCUAACUACGUGCCAGCCGCCGCGGUAA
rnacentral:rRNA from 1 species